CCAUACCGCCUCCGCCCUCAACCCUAGCCGUAUCGCGCCCUCGCCCUGCCUCCAGCCCCGCGCAGUAUGCUGCUCGCUCGUCGUUGGCUACUCGCCUGCUCCCAUGCUCCCUCCGGAUCUGCUGCUCUCGGGGAUUUGGCGCAGCGGCUUUGCGCCUCCACACUUGGUCGCCGGCCUCCUCACCUCCACAAGCCCACGUCAUCGCCGUCUCCUCUUCGCCAUCGCCCCGCUCGCCUCCUGUGCCAACGACCCGACCAACCUCGCCGCCAAGCAGGGCCACACCGGUGAGCUCCCCUUCUGUUGAUGUUGUGGGAGCGGAUCGAAGGCCCGGAUUCGUUUGGGGUUUGCUUUUUAUGGACGGGACUGGGUAGAACUCUUUGUUGUCUUCAGCUGAUAGGCUUUACUCUUGGCAUCAUUCGGCUGGCCUAGGCUGGAAUUUGUUUGACAUCCGGAGCUUCGAAGUUCAACUUGUUGGCAUUGACUGGGUGGGCUGUAGAUGGAAUUUUUCGAGUUCUGCAAUUCAGUUCACAAAGGGGAAAUAGAAAUGGUUGCGGGUGAUCCCAACCUGCUGACAGUUCUAACUGUUUUGGUAUGUUUUAAGUUGAUUCACUGUCAGCUGAUGAGGUUCCUACCAUAACACUUAAGCAAGGAAUCCUGUACACUUCUCUCCUGGUAAAUAGACUGAUAGUAGAGUAAUACAUAUUGUUGCCAUGAUAAAAUGCUAACUGUGCUGCAUAGACUGAUAGUAGAGUAAUACAUACUGUCAGCUUCAAUUCGUUUGGUUUGAUUGGCAGGUGUGAGGUGCUAUGAGCAUGUGACUCUAAAUCUACUAGUCCUAGAAUGGAUUACAGUUGUCAGGAAUUUUUGUUGGGACUGGUGAGCUUCAGUACCGUAGAAAGACACAGCUACAUUAUUUGUACUCUAGUACAGUACCGUAGAGUCAUUAUCAGGCCAAUAGGAUGGUUUAAUAUUCAAAGACUAGUUUCUUGCCUGUUCAUGUUAGCUGAUUUUAAACCUAACUAUUUGAUUUUUGUCUUGCAGUGAUAUAAAAAAGUUGAAACUUUCAUAGCUUACCUGCCGAGAAUGCAUUGUUGAAGUUGCAAAGAUGUAUGUCUAAGUUUAUUUUCACAUAAUAGUAUAUUUUUUUCUAUUAUCAAGAAUUGUUUCUCAAUACAUUCAUGAGUUGGAAAUUGUACUGUGAGCCUUUCUAUAUUAUAUAGUCUAGCUAGCUCUACAAUAGAGCUCUAGUACAGACAGAACACAUGCUUUCAUACUCCUAUGGAAUAGUAGAAUCAGGUAGCAGAAUUAGGUGUUCAUUAACCAUGCAAAUAAUUAAUUCAAGUUAUCUAAAUAGGCCCUUAGUUUAUAAUGCUGAAAGUAUAAAAAGUGUUCCACUCUCAAUACCGAGAAUAGGAAGACUCCACCAUGUAUAUGUGUUCUUAUCAGGUGCUCUUCUUUCCCGAUAAAAUAAAAAUCCUUUGCUUCAAUAUGCUACAUGAUACUUUGUGUAUAGAUAAAGGAAUACAUCCAUAUGAUGUUCCUGGGAGUUAGUUUGAUGUCCAUAUACUCCAUGCUUGCUGAUUGGAAAGGAAACUAGUUAUUUCGUUUGAAGUCAUAUGCUGCUUGGCGUCAUUCUAAUCCAAGUAGCUGAGGGGUCAACAGUGGCUAACUUCCCUGUCACUUUAUUCCAAAGAGCAAAAGGGAAUCCCACCCUAGCUGUGAUAUUUUCCCUGGAUUAUGGUUGUCCAGGAAUCCUACAUGGAGUGGAAUUUAUCUCCGGGUUAAUUAACCUUGGUUGCCAAACUAGCCCUCAAUGUGCGGGACAAGAAGGGAAAUACUGCUUUGCACAUAGCUACACGGAAAUGGAGGCCCCAGGGAUCUGGAAUAACAGGAGCCUGAUGGUUGCAUCAGUAGAGUUGACCACUUCUCAGUAUUGCGAGAUGCAUCUUACAUGGUCAAGAAGAUAAUUCCUAUUCUGAGCUACUUGCUCGUGUACAAGUCUCCUUAUCAUGUCCUCCUUUCAAGCCAGUCUAUUCUUUGCUUGAUUCAUCACGGGUGCACAUUAUUGUAAUUAGAAUCUUCAGAGUACUCGAAGGAUAGUUAAAGCUGUUUAGCUAGUCCUUCAGAUUACUGAAAAUAUAGUUAAGAACAUUUGUAUUUUGCUAUUUCGAUUUCCAACAGUACAACUAUUGAGUACAACUAUUGGGGAUGAUUGUUU